rnacentral:lncRNA from 1 species
AUAACUAUAAAAACUAUAAAUUUUUUGAAUUUGUUUACAAAAAAAAAGUUGUUUUUUGUCGCAUUUUUUAAAAGAACUUAUAGUAAUAAAUUCUUCGAACGUUGAUAGAUAAAUAUCUACAAUUUAUUAAAAGAGUUCGUUAUUAAAAUAAUUUAUUAAUAAAAUGUCGUAUAAGUAUAGCAAGAAUAGCAAGAAAAUUGUUUUUACUAUAAAUGUAACGAAGAACUAAAACAAGAAAUUGAAUUAAUUUAAGAUAUUUAGAAAUUUUAAAUAUUUGUUGUUUUUUAAUAAAAAUGUUAAAACUUUCUCUUGAGUUUGGUGCGAAACACAAAAGAAAAAAGGAGGAAAAGACGUUUCUUGCAACACAAAGAGAUGCCUUAUUAAAUUUCGUUUAAUCGUGAGCUGCUAUCCCAUUUGGAAACAUCAACUUCAAAUGCUCAGAAAAGAGGAAACACAAAUGUUUUCCAAAUUGCCAGCAUGUGGUCGAAGUAAGAAAAUCAUAGGCACGGAGUACAGGUUUAAGCAAUGCAAAUGAAAAUAAAAAUAUCGACUUGAUUUGAAAAGGUACAGGCUUACGGCUAUCUUUAACCAGAGAUAAAGAACGUGUUUACUUGGUCAAAAAAGGACCGUUUUGUUACUCAUAAAGUAUCCAGAAUAUGAAAGUUCUGAAAAGCGGCAUGUCUCUGUGGGAUUUUUUUUAAAGAAGUUAUGAAAUGAUGAAUGCUCAGAUUGUUGUUGGCUAGUUUACUUAAAUUAUUUAAAUGUUAUUUUUUUUUGAUUUUUAUUCACCUCCCGAAGGUCGAGAGAUCCUCUUCAGUCGAGGAGGCUACCUUAUUGUGGUUAUAACCCUGUGUCAACUCUUUAUCUCCAAAACACGUACCUUGGCAAACAAAACCACUGAGAAAAGAAAUAAGUUGCGCAUGGUACUACCAAGUACUUGGUCGGAUCGAACUCGAAACUUCUCAGUUAAGAAGCGAGCGCUCUACCACUACAUCACUACCGCAUUCUAUUUUGCUGUCUAAUAUUUUCAGAUAAAAUCAAGCUUGAAAUGAAGGAAAUAGUGGAUAGAAAAACAUGUCUAAUGCUCUAGUUGAUCCUGUAUUGUCCAUGAAGCUCAUUUUUGCUAUCGUCGCUUGGCUUGAACUGGAAAAUCAGUGGAAGGAACAAUAGUCAGUUAAUAAGAAAUCAGAAAAACUAGUCCAAAAAAGAGACUCAGUACUGGAAUAAUGUUUUAAAAAGAAUCAUUUUAGUUUUACAGUUUCUUGCAGAACGGAAACUUUCAGUCUUCAAUGAUACUUUUUGGAAUUUUUCUUCAAAUUUUUUUUUUUGGUGGUAGAUAAUUAAAAAUAGUGUAUAAAAUUUCACCGUAAAACCUUUUUUCGUUACACGCUGGGAAUGCAGGAUUGAUAGUGUGCUGUUCGUUAUUUAUUCUUAAACAAUUUUUUUUAUUAAUUAACUUUUUUAGACUUUUUUUUUGCUUUAUGAAUUUAUUCAAGCUGUAAAACAUAACAAAAAUACAAAUAGCAUGGGCAAGAAAAAGACAUUUGUCUCAUCACCAAUCCCCUAAUCUAUACUGUAAAUAUAAAAUAACGAAAAUUAAGAAACCUAUUGUAGUUUUAUGUUUCUGUAUGGCUUAAGAAACAUUUUAAAUACAAAGAAAAAAUAUUUAAUACAAUAAAAACUAUUUCGUUAAAAACCAUGGGGGCAAAUAUGCAUAAUCCUAAAGCUUUUCUUUUAAACCAGGAUGUUUUUUGUUUAAUGUCAGUAGGUGUAAAUAAUGACGUAAUGUUUAAUGUCAGUAAAUGUGAAUCAUGACGUAAUGUUUUUACUAUGAUUUUUUUGAUGCUUACCAAACAUUUUUUUAUUUCUUGUUGUAUUCUUUUAUAAAAACAAUAAAGUUUCCCACAAGAAUUGUGGAAUAUGGAGCAUUAUCAAAGCAAAACAAGUUAUACCUUGAAAUAUCUGAAAAAAUUUAAAUCAUAAGUUAUUAUAAAAAAUGUCACAUGAUCCUUUUAUCCAAGCUGAUAAUGACACACCUGCAAUUGUUGGGACAGUCCUGACAAGCAAUUAUGUUUAAACCGAACUGAUUUCCAGAAAAUUUGGGCAAUUUUAGUGAGUUGAAAAAUUUCAUCAAAAUAUCCGGACAUGGAAAAGCGUUAUCAGAGAAGGUAGAACUUAUAUGUAAUGAAAGAAUACUGUUCGAGUUUGAAAUGAGAUCUACCUAAAGUUAUUUAAUUGUUUUGAAUAGAAAUGUUGUUAACA